UGCAAGUCGACGAUGAAGCCGCUUCGGUGAGUGGAUUAGUGGCGAACGGGUGAGUAACACGUGGGCAAUCUGCCCUGCACUCUGGGACAAGCCCUGGAAACGGGGUCUAAUACCGGAUACGACCAUCUGAGGCAUCUUGGAUGGUGGAAAGCUCCGGCGGUGCAGGAUGAGCCCGCGGCCUAUCAGCUUGUUGGUGGGGUAAUGGCCUACCAAGGCGACGACGGGUAGCCGGCCUGAGAGGGCGACCGGCCACACUGGGACUGAGACACGGCCCAGACUCCUACGGGAGGCAGCAGUGGGGAAUAUUGCACAAUGGGCGAAAGCCUGAUGCAGCGACGCCGCGUGAGGGAUGACGGCCUUCGGGUUGUAAACCUCUUUCAGUAGGGAAGAAGCGCAAGUGACGGUACCUACAGAAGAAGCACCGGCUAACUACGUGCCAGCAGCCGCGGUAAUACGUAGGGUGCGAGCGUUGUCCGGAAUUAUUGGGCGUAAAGAGCUCGUAGGCGGCUUGUCACGUCGGAUGUGAAAGCCCGGGGCUUAACCCCGGGUCUGCAUUCGAUACGGGCAGGCUAGAGUUCGGUAGGGGAGAUCGGAAUUCCUGGUGUAGCGGUGAAAUGCGCAGAUAUCAGGAGGAACACCGGUGGCGAAGGCGGAUCUCUGGGCCGAUACUGACGCUGAGGAGCGAAAGCGUGGGGAGCGAACAGGAUUAGAUACCCUGGUAG
rnacentral:rRNA from 1 species